ACGGGAGGCAGCAGUGGGGAAUAUUGCACAAUGGGCGCAAGCCUGAUGCAGCCAUGCCGCGUGUAUGAAAAAGGCCUUCGGGUUGUAAAGUACUUUCAGUCGUGAGGAAGGUGUUAAGGUUAAUAACCUUAGCAAUUGACGUUAGCGACAGAAGAAGCACCGGCUAACUCCGUGCCAGCAGCCGCGGUAAUACGGAGGGUGCGAGCGUUAAUCGGAAUUACUGGGCGUAAAGGGCACGCAGGCGGUUAAUUAAGUUGGAUGUGAAAUCCCCGGGCUUAACCUGGGAAUGGCAUUCAAGACUGGUUAGCUAGAGUCUUGUAGAGGGGGUAGAAUUCCAUGUGUAGCGGUGAAAUGCGUAGAGAUGUGGAGGAAUACCGGUGGCGAAGGCGGCCCCUGGACAAAGACUGACGCUCAUGUGCGAAAGCGUGGGGAGCGAAACAGGGAUUAGAUACC
rnacentral:rRNA from 1 species